UACAGAGGGUGCAAGCGUUAAUCGGAAUUACUGGGCGUAAAGCGCGCGUAGGUGGCUAAGUAAGAUGGGUGUGAAAUCCCCGGGCUCAACCUGGGAACUGCAUCCAUAACUGCUUGGCUAGAGUACGGUAGAGGGUAGUGGAAUUUCCUGUGUAGCGGUGAAAUGCGUAGAUAUAGGAAGGAACACCAGUGGCGAAGGCGACUACCUGGACUGAUACUGACACUGAGGUGCGAAAGCGUGGGGAGCAAAC
rnacentral:rRNA from 2 species